GACGAACGCUGGCGGCGCGCUUAACACAUGCAAGUCGAACGGAAAGGCCUGCUUUCCCUUGUGGAUUGCGGGUACUCGAGUGGCGAACGGGUGAGUAACACGUGAGUGAUCUGCCCCCAACUUGGGUAUAAGCCUGGGAAACUGGGUCUAAUUCCCGAUAGGACUGCAGGGUGGUGCCUGUGGUGGAAAACGAUUUUCUAGUGGUUGGGGAUGAGCUCGCGGCCUAUCAGCUUGUUGGUGGGGUAAUGGCCUACCAAGGCGGCGACGGGUAGCCGGCCUGGGAGGGUGGACGGCCACAUUGGGACUGAGAUACGGCCCAGACUCCUACGGGAGGCAGCAGUGGGGAAUAUUGCACAAUGGGCGGAAGCCUGAUGCAGCGACGCCGCGUGGGGGAUGACGGCCUUCGGGUUGUAAACUCCUUUCGACCGCGAGGAAGCCACCUGGUUGGAAGGGUGGUGACGGUAGUGGGAGAAGAAGCACCGGCUAACUACGUG
rnacentral:rRNA from 1 species